UCUCUUUUGUCUCUCUCUCUCUCUUCUUUUUAAUUCUCUUAGAGCAACAUUAUCAAUGCCAACUCUUAUCAAACAUCUUAGAAUAUUUAAUUAGUAUUUUUAGUGUAAGAAGUUUUCUAAGAUACUUAAGUAAAAUACAACAUUAUCAAUGGAACUUUUUGUAGGUUCUUAGGUAUAAAAUUAUUAUUUUUAUUAAUAAGUAGUAAUUAAGAUAUAUCUAUUUAUAUUCAAUACAUUAAAAAGAGAAAAAAAAUUCAUUUACUUAAAAUUACAAACAUUUUAUUACAUUCCAUACAUAAAAAAAAAAAAAAUCAUAAAUCACACAUUUAUUCAAUUCAUAGAAACUUUAAAAUCAUUGGUUAUUUGGAAGAUGUCGAAAUUUAGUCCAAAUAUUUUCGAUUAAAUCGAAUUUUAAUUGUUCAUGGGCUUGUCUGUUACGGACGCUCGAUCGACGAUCCAUUGCAGUGCCGAGAUUUGAAUUCGGAGUAACGGUGAAUGUAUCAUCUUCCUAAAUUUCUUGAAAUUUUCUCACGUUAUACUGAGUGUAUGUUGAUCGUUCAUCCUCGACAAUCAUAUUAUGGAGUAUGAUGCAUGCCUUCAUAAUAUUUGCUAUUUUGUCUUUAUCCCAUAACUUGGAUGGAUUUUUCACUACGGCAAAUCUAGCUUGCAGAACUCCGAAGGCACGCUCGACAUCUUUUCGAACAGCUUCUUGGGUUUUAGCAAAUAACGAAUGUUUCUCACUUUGUGGAAGUCGGAUAUAUUGAAUAAAAGUCGCCCAUUUAGGAUAAAUACCAUCAGUGAGAUAAUAUGCCAAAUGAUAUUGAUUACCAUUAACAUAGAAGUUCACUUCUGGCGCAAUUCCGUUAAUAAUGUCAUCAAAAACGGGGGAUCGAUCAAGAAUAUUAAGAUCGUUCAUAGUACCUGGAGCUCCAAAAAAUACGUGCCAUAUCCAGAGGUCACUUGAAGCUACCGCCUCCAAAACAAUUGUUGGUUUUUCGGUUCCUCGGGAAUACAUUCAUUUCCAAGCAGUGGGGCAAUUUUUCCACUCUCAAUGCAUACAGUCGAUGCUGCCAAUCAUCCCCGGAAACCCACGUUGGUCUCCAAUAUAGAGAAGUCUUUGCAGAUCCUCUUGUGUCGGUUGGCGUAGGUAUUCAUCACCAAACAAGCUGAUUAUUCCGGUGGUAAAUUUGUGCAAAGAUUUCCGAGCUGUCGUUUCAGCAAGUCGGACAUACUCAUCAAGUGAAUCAGCUGCACCGCCAUAUGCUAACUGUCGGAUUGCUGCGGUACAUUUUUGUAGGGGUGUUAGACUAGACCGUCCGGUACAAUUGGUUCCUUGUUGAAAAUACGGUAUGUUGGUUUCGAGACGUUGUACAAUACGCAGGAACAAAUAUUUGUUCAUUCGGAACCGUCGGCAGAAUAACUCGGGAUUGUAAGUUGGAGUCUCGCUAAAGUAAUCAUUCCAGAGCUUCUGGUGGCCGUCUUCUCGGAACCUCUCCAUAUAAAUACGUUGCUUCCGCUUUUUUGGUUAAAUAUUUUCAUUUGGUCAGAAACAAAAUACACUCAAGUUACAAUGAGCAAACAAUAAACUUAUAUACUCCUUACAGACUGGUUACUCGUUCGAAACUAACUACAACAGUUACUACAACUCGUUCGAAACUAACUACAAUGAGCAGACAAUAAACUUAAAUGUCCACACCAGUUUUUUCUAAAAUUCCAACACUGGUAAAUUCAAUGAUGAAGACAAUGUAAUUUAGACAACAGAUCAAUCACGUAUACAUUCACAAUAUUAAACACAGAUCCAUCGAGUUUAAAUCCAAAGUUUAUUCACAAUGUAUACAUUCACAAUGUUUAAAGCCAGCUUUUACCGAAUACACUUCACUAAUCAAUCAAGUAUACAUUCACAAUGUUAAACACAGAUCCAUCGAGUUUAAAUCCAAAGUUUUUUCUAUAAUACACGCAUCAAUGGACUGUACAAUCAGACACAUAUCAGUUCACAAUCAAAUUCCUCGCCAACCAUUCAAUCACAACCUAUACAGACAACCUUUCAAUAACUCUAUACACACGAACUAUACAACCAAACAUUCAGAAACAAACAAAUCAAUUCGAACAAACCAAGCCAAUCGUUUCCUCUAAUUCGCAGACCUUAACAUAGAGACAUAUAAUUAGCAGAUAUAGAAGACAAACCUGGUAUCGUUUGAUUCGGAAGACGACGACGAGAUCCUUCUGGAAUUGGUGAGAAUAGACGACGGCGGCCGAAAACUACCGGCGAGAGAGAGAGAAUAGUGAGACGAUGCAAACCCAGAUCAAAUACCACGCAUGCAAAAGGAAAUCGAACCAAAAAAAAAAUUAGAUCCACAAAACAACCCGAUAAUCGAAAAAUAAAACCAGAGAAGGAACACGAACCUGCUGGAGAUUCGAUGCGCCGGUAGAGCUUUAGAUUGAACGGUGAAUCCGUCUGGUUCGCGACGCGGCGUCACUCCUCCUGUAAUCGCCUCCGACGGAUAGAGAGAGAAGAGGGAGACGCAGAGAAUGGGUCGAGACCGAAUGACCUCUUCUCUCUACCACUUCGUACCUCCUAUCACCAUUCGCCACGUGACACAAGCACCACCACCAAAAACUUCUUACAUAAAAAUCGAUUCCACUUAUUAACUCAUUUUUUUGAUUUAAAUUUGGCCCAAGUUAAUUAUAAGAAUCGGGCUAAGAAGCCCGAUAAUGAUGCUCUUAUGUACCUGAAACUUCUAGUUUGUUACAUUUUGGCCCCCACACAGUUUUUCGCUUUUUGGUUUGGUUCUUGUAGUUUUCUUUCAUUUUUAUUUAGUAAGCAAUUUGUGGUUAAUUGAAGUAGGUUUGGAGUGAUAAUUACAGUGAAUGGAGUUAAUACAACACUAAUUAGCCAACCAAGACCGUAGUAUUAUCACUAACGGCAUGAUUAUGUGAUGCAUCUAAACAUAUUCAUAGUAAAAUGGGUUUCUGAACAUUUCAAACAUUUUUUUCUAGUGUCUGAGAGGAAAUGACAUAUUACUCAAAUUCUAGGCAUAUGGUAAAUCACACUUAUUGAAAACAUUUUUUGAAAACAUUUUUUUUUUCAUAUUUUGAAACUUAAUAUAAAAGUUAGCAUAUAUAAAAUGCGUAUGUAGUCCUACGAGGCUAGGAGACUGGUGUAGAUGUUGCUGGAAACCAACAGUCCAAAUUCUAUAGUAAGAUAAUCUGAAUUUAAAAUAGGAACACACUAUCAUGUUAGAGGACCCACUAUGCACCAACGAUAUGGUACAUGAUAAUACAAUAGGUUUUAUCGGUUAGCUAUUUCCUGUCUUUGUCAUUAUCUCACGCACAUAAUUCAACCAUCGCAUGUAGUAACCACUUUGGUCAAUAACAAAGCCACUCUUAUGCUUAAAACAUGGAGAGAUUAAGGGACAAAAAUAUUGACCAAAGUGGUUACUAUAUAUAUUUGAUUUUUGUUACAUUUGAAUAAAAUUCCUGUACUUUUCUACUGAAAUUAAUACUAUGUGGCCAAUAAAACCAUCUCUAGUUUCUUGCAACUUGGCAUCCAAGUCUCCUGUAACAAAAUUGGAACCAUUAAUAAUUAGAUAAGCCUAGAUGAUGAGGUUUUGACUGAUUGUAUUGUAUGUCGAUAGUAGUUAGAUAUUAUUAAAUAUUAGUGCAAUGAUUUGAUUCAAUAAUUACAAUCACAAGUUCUUUGUCCCCAUCAAGAAACAUAAUGAAUAACUAUAUCUCUCCCAUGUUCUACCACUCACAUUAGAGAUUUUGUUAAUUUGGACAAAGUAAGGCGAAAAAAUAAGAAGAUUUAUACGCAAGAACACUUGACACCGAAGAGAAAAACUAUAUCAAAAUUUCAAACUAUGUUUGUAAAAGAUUAUAAUA